UACGGAGGGUGCAAGCGUUAAUCGGAAUUACUGGGCGUAAAGCGCACGCAGGUGGCUGAGUCAGUCGAUUGUGAAAGCCCUGGGCUUAACCUGGGAAUUGCAGUCGAUACUACUCAGCUAGAGUAUGGGAGAGGGUAGUGGAAUUCCCGGUGUAGCGGUGAAAUGCGUAGAUAUCGGGAGGAACAUCAGUGGCGAAGGCGGCUACCUGGCCCAAUACUGACGCUGAGGAGCGAAAGCGUGGGGAGCGAACAGG
rnacentral:rRNA from 1 species